UACGUAGGUGGCGAGCGUUGUCCGGAAUCACUGGGCGUAAAGGGCGCGUAGGCGGCGAAGCAAGUCGCAUGUGAAAGACCAGGGCUCAACCCUGGGAGGUCAUGCGAAACUGUUUUGCUUGAGUGCAGUAGAGGGAAGCGGAAUUCCUGGUGUAGCGGUAAAAUGCGUAGAGAUCAGGAGGAACACCGGUGGCGAAGGCGGCUUCCUGGGCUGUAACUGACGCUGAUGCGCGAAAGCGUGGGGAGCAAACAGG
rnacentral:rRNA from 1 species